UACAGAGGUCCCGAGCGUUGUUCGGAUUCACUGGGCGUAAAGGGUGCGUAGGUGGCAUGUUAAGUUUGAUGUGAAAGCUCAGGGCUUAACCCUGAAAUGGCAUUGAAUACUAGCGUGCUGGAGGUUUGGAGGGGGGACUGGAAUUCUCGGUGUAGCAGUGAAAUGCGUAGAUAUCGUAAGGAAGACCAGUGGCGAAGGCGGGUCUCUGGACAGUUCCUGACACUGAGGCACGAAGGCCAGGGGAGCAAACGGG
rnacentral:rRNA from 1 species